UCAGGAUGAACGCUGGCUACAGGCUUAACACAUGCAAGUCGUGGGGAAACGGCAUUAUGUGCUUGCACAUUCUGGACGUCGACCGGCGCACGGGUGAGUAUCGCGUAUCCAACCUGCCCCUUACUUGGGGAUACCCCGUUGAAAGACGGCCUAAUACCCGAUGUGUUUCAUUGACGGCAUCCGAUAUGAAACAAAGGUUUUUCCGGUAAGGGAUGGGGAUGCGUCUGAUUAGCUWGUUGGCGGGGCAACGGCCCACCAAGGCGACGAUCAGUAGGGGUUCUGAGAGGAAGGUCCCCCACAUUGGAACUGAGACACGGUCCAAACUCCUACGGGAGGCAGCAGUGAGGAAUAUUGGUCAAUGGACGCAAGUCUGAACCAGCCAAGUAGCGUGCAGGAUGACGGCCCUAUGGGUUGUAAACUGCUUUUAUGUGGGAAUAAAGUGGUGCACGUGUGCGCCAUUGCAUGUACCUCAUGAAUAAGGACCGGCUAAUU
rnacentral:rRNA from 1 species